AUUCGAAUCGGCGGCGGCUUCUAGUUUGCGGUUCAAGUUUGGCCGCUGCCGGCCAGCGUCCUCUGGCCAUGGACACCCCGGAAAAUGUCCUUCAGAUGCUUGAAGCCCACAUGCAGAGCUACAAGGGCAAUGACCCUCUUGGUGAAUGGGAAAGAUACAUACAGUGGGUAGAAGAGAAUUUUCCUGAGAAUAAAGAAUACUUGAUAACUUUACUAGAACAUUUAAUGAAGGAAUUUUUAGAUAAGAAGAAAUACCACAAUGACCCAAGAUUCAUCAGUUAUUGUUUAAAAUUUGCUGAGUACAACAGUGACCUCCAUCAAUUUUUUGAGUUUCUGUACAACCAUGGGAUUGGAACCCUGUCAUCCCCUCUGUACAUUGCCUGGGCGGGGCAUCUGGAAACCCAAGGAGAGCUGCAGCAUGCCAGUGCUGUCCUUCAGAGAGGAAUUCAAAACCAGGCUGAACCCAGAGAGUUCCUGCAACAACAAUACAGGUUAUUUCAGACACGCCUCACUGAAACCCAUUUGCCAGCUCAAGCUAGAACCUCAGAACCUCUGCAUAAUGUUCAGGUUUUAAAUCAAAUGAUAACAUCAAAAUCAAAUCCAGGAAAUAACAUGGCCUGCAUUUCUAAGAAUCAGGGUUCAGAGCUUUCUGGAGUGAUAUCUUCAGCUUGUGAUAAAGAGUCAAAUAUGGAAGAAAGAGUGAUCACGAUUUCUAAAUCAGAAUAUUCUGUGCACUCAUCUUUGGCAUCCAAAGUUGAUGUUGAGCAGGUUGUUAUGUAUUGCAAGGAGAAGCUUAUUCGUGGGGAAUCAGAAUUUUCCUUUGAAGAAUUGAGAGCCCAGAAAUACAAUCAACGGAGAAAGCAUGAGCAAUGGGUAAAUGAAGACAGACAUUAUAUGAAAAGGAAAGAAGCAAAUGCUUUUGAAGAACAGCUAUUAAAACAGAAAAUGGAUGAACUUCAUAAGAAGUUGCAUCAGGUGGUGGAGACAUCCCAUGAGGAUCUGCCCGCUUCCCAGGAAAGGUCCGAGGUUAAUCCAGCACGUAUGGGGCCAAGUGUAGGCUCCCAGCAGGAACUGAGAGCGCCAUGUCUUCCAGUCACCUAUCAGCAGACACCAGUGAACAUGGAAAAGAACCCAAGAGAGGCACCUCCUGUUGUUCCUCCUUUGGCAAAUGCUAUUUCUGCAGCUUUGGUGUCCCCAGCCACCAGCCAGAGCAUUGCUCCUCCUGUUCCUUUGAAAGCCCAGACAGUAACAGACUCCAUGUUUGCAGUGGCCAGCAAAGAUGCUGGGUAAGCUGAAGGUAGUCCUAGAGAUCACAGUGAUGUGAGUGGCACCUGUCACCUUCUUUACAUGACCUGCAUUAUCAGGAACAGUAUGUAAAAGAUGAAUGAUGUCUGCCUUUUAUUUUUAGAUAGGUAUGUUGUUGAAAAAGCAAGUGGCAAAACAUUGCUCCCAAUCCUUUAGGCUUACUUAUUCCAUGCUUCUUUUAGAAUAUUUAUUUUAUACUUUCGUGAAUUAAAAAUUUUCAGUACCUGAAAGUCAACUGUCACUUUGUAACUGAAGAAUGUACAGCUGUUAGGCUAAAAUUCCCUUUGCUCACUGGCUGUGAUUGAAUACCUGCAGGGAUCAUAACUGUCUAGACAAUUACUUGACAUGUGUUCUCAUAUUCCUUCUGUCUUCCCAUAGAGAGCAGUUUGGGAUUAAUACACAUGAUUCUGUCUCUCAAAAUGUACCUCUGCACUGGAAGUUUUUACCCCAAUUUUGAGGGAUUUUUCCAGAUUUCAGAAAUUAUAGUUAAUGUCAUAUCACUCGUUUAAGUUACAUUUUUACCUCCAGUCAUUUUGGCUCUCUUUUAGCUCGUUUUUAUAGGGAUUUGUAAAAUUAAAAAUGCUUUGCAUGUUUUACUUUAUACCUUAACAGGGUUUAUUAAGGGAACUCCAGCAAUGUUAAAUAGACAUGUUAGAUCCACUACCCCAAGUGCACUUAAAGUGUGAUAUAAAUGG
rnacentral:sRNA from 1 species